CCUACGGGUGGCUGCAGUGAGGAAUAUUGGUCAAUGGGCGAGAGCCUGAACCAGCCAAGUCGCGUGAGGGAAGACGGUCCUAUGGAUUGUAAACCUCUUUUGCCGGGGAGCAAAAAGCGGUACGUGUACCGCAUCGAGAGUACCCUGAGAAAAAGCAUCGGCUAAAUCCGUGCCAGCAGCCGCGGUAAUACGAGGGAUGAGAUGGUUAUCGGGAUUUAUGGGGUUUAAAGGGUGGGCAGGGGGCGAGUUAAGUCAGCGGUAAAAUUUCGGGGCUAAACCCCGACGAGCCGUUGAAAUUGGCUGGCUAGAGUGGGCGAGAGGUAUGCGGAAUGCGUGGUGUAGCGGUGAAAUGCAUAGAGAUCACGCAGAACUCCGAUUGCGAAGGCAGCAUACCGGCGACCAACUGACGCUCAGGCACGAAAGCGUGGGUAUCGAACAGGAUUAGAUACCCCUGUAGUC
rnacentral:rRNA from 1 species